GACGAACGCUGGCGGCGUGCUUAACACAUGCAAGUCGAACGGAAAGGCCCUGCUUUUGUGGGGUGCUCGAGUGGCGAACGGGUGAGUAACACGUGAGUAACCUGACCUUGACUUUGGGAUAACUUCAGGAAACUGGGGUUAAUACCGGAUAGGAGCUCCUGUUGCAUGGUGGGGGUUGGAAAGUUUCGGCGGUUGGGGAUGGACUCGCGGGUUAUCAGCUUGUUGGUGGGGUAGUGGCUUACCAAGGGUGUGACGGGUAGCCGGCCUGGGAGGGUGACCGGCCACAUGGGGACUGCGAUACGCACCAGACGCCAACGGGAGGCAGCGGUGGGGAGUAUUACACAGUGGGAGGAAGCCUGAUGCAGCAACGCCGCGUGCGGGAUGACGGCCUUCUGGUUGUAAACCGCAUUCGCCUGUGACGAAGCGUGAGUGACGGUAAUGGGUAAAGAAGCACCGGCUAACUACGUG
rnacentral:rRNA from 1 species